rnacentral:lncRNA from 1 species
GUGAUUGUGAAGAGUGUUAGUGACUAUAAGGAAUGUUUGGUCAACUUGAUUUUUAGAUUGGUGAGUAUUGCUGUUACUUGAAGAGAAAGCCUGGUAAGGAUUACCACCCAAACUUUUAGCCUUUAUGCCUUUGUCCAGAAAACUACUAUUAUGUUGUGGCUCCUAUUACUUUGGCCUCUGGCCCUACUGUAUUGUAUCAGUCCAUAAUUGUGGGGCCACUUUAUGAUUUGUGCUUGUGAAGUCAUCUUCUCUGCGCUAGGCAUGCAGUAUCUUCUACCACAAGGUGCCUUUGCUUUAGCUUCAUGAUCUCACUACCUAGGCCUUUGGACUUAAGCCAGAGAUUGGCUAUGUGUUGCCAGAGAAAUUCUUAUUUAAAGAACUUAAACAUUUAAUGUGUAGCACAUGAAUUUACUGGGUUGUAUUUUAUAUGUCUUUAGUCAAUAUUUGCAUUCACAUGAGGUUUGUUAACCUUUAAAUUAGCACUAUUUGGUCAUAAAAUUACUUAGACACUGUCUGUGUAAAUUACAGACCAAGAUACUGUGCUAGAGACUUUGGUGGGCAUGAAGAGGAAUUGGUCCUGUGUCCUGGCUGCAGAAAAUCACUAGUUGAUAUUCUGAAUAAAGUUCUUCUACUCCAGGGUCCUUCUCAUCUCUUCUGGGAAGGCAGGAAAAGGAAGAGACAGGAGCCUGGCCUGCCAGCCCCCCUGGAAACCUGGAGCAGCUCUACCCCAAGGAGCUCCCCUGCCUUCUCUUCCCUCCCACUCUGGCCCUCUUCACUUUCCUUAGCAUACCUUUGUUGUAGCCUCACCCUCUGGCACAUCUGUUGUAUGUCCCUCUCCAAGGGACAUUGUUCCUGUUCCACAGGAUGCAACGCUUCAAGUGCAUUUAAACAGUAUGAGAUUGAAAGUAGAUAUAAAUGUUUUUUCCACAACCCCUUUUGUAAAAUACUGCAUUUUAAAGAUGAAAAGAUCAUAACCUAAUUCUUUUAUUUUUACAAAUUAUGGAAGCUGGGCAUGGGGGCAUAUAGCACUCAGGAGACUGAGGCAGGAGGAUUGCUUUAAGUUCAAGGCCACCCUGGGCUGCACAGUGAACUCAAGCCUGACCUGUGUAGCAAGACCCUGUCUCAAAAACAAGCAUACAACAAAUUAUGGAAACUGAAUUCAGUAUAACUUCCCAGAUACAAGAUGGAAAAUAGGCUCUAAUAUUGAUGUGUUUUAGGAGGAGGAUGUGCUUUUCCAGGAAGAGGAUUUAAUUUAUUAAUUAGAGGAAUGACUAACUCCAUUAGUCGAUGUGUUGAUAUGUAUCUGUCAAAUGAAUAAAAGUUGAUUUUAUUUAUUUUUCA